CCCGUCUGACAGCUCAGUCCUUUGCUGCUUUUUCAGCCCUGUGCCCUAGAUAAUGUUUCCCAAGAAUUCCGAUUCUCCCAUGCAGCCUUCCACCUCCUGGCUCUGUCUGUGGCUAUCCUUCCGUGGCCUACCCAGCUUGUGCCAACCGUGUCUGGGGCCAUCUGGUUCCCCUUUCUAGGAACUCCUGGCCUGCGUAGCCAUUGCCUCUCCACGGCUUCCAUCUUUGGGGCCCAAAGGCUCCCAGGGAGAGGCUGUGCAGAGAAGUGAGUUCCCCAUUCCCAUUAGCCCUGGAGUGAGUGAUCCCUUCCCGGUUCUGCUUGUGCUUUCCACCUACUUCUCCCUGCUCCCUUUUAUAGGCCAAGUACAGAUGCACAGCUCAGGCCUGCAAUGACUGUGACUCAAUCAAUCAUUUUCUCGUGCUGUCAAUGGGUCAGUGAGUGUCCAGGCCUUGGUGAUUUCCUCAGUCAUAGACUCAUAAAUCUAGAGCUAAGUGAGACCUCAAAGACCAUCAAAGAUCCAUUUGUUUUCUUUUACAGAGGAGAGACUCUCCAGACCCAGGAAUCGAUCUGCUCAGUCACACAGGUGGCAGAUGGCAAAGGUCAGACCAUUGGACUGUGGUAGCAGUGAGGUAUCCACCCUCUCCGGAGUCUGGAGGAAGCUGCCGUAUAGAGAGAAAACAUCCGAUGCAAAGAGUUCAGCCUCCCAGACAGGAGGAUCUGGGGAGACUGGGAAGACAUUUAUGAGGCCAGCCAAGAAGCAGAGCUCGGGCUCACUUGGAAAGCCAAGCAAGAGGCCAAGUCAUUGUUUUGUCGCCCGAACCCCUUCUUCAUUAGGGACUUUGAACCUUCCGGAGGCUCCC
rnacentral:lncRNA from 1 species